rnacentral:rRNA from 1 species
AAUAGAAAGUAAUUAAGGGCGUAUGGCGGAUGCCUAGGCUCACGGAGGCGAUGAAGGACGUGAUAAGCUGCGAUAAGCCUCGGGUAGAUGCAAAUAAUCUUUGAUCCGAGGAUUUCCGAAUGGGACAACCUGACUGUCUGAAGGAUAGUCACCCAUAUAUUUUUUAUGGGAGCAAACGCAGGGAACUGAAACAUCUUAGUACCUGUAGGAAAAGAAAAUAAUUUAAUGAUUCCCCUAGUAGUGGCGAGCGAACGGGGAAUAGCCCAAACCUAUGACGUAGUAAUGCGUGAUAGGGGUAGUAGGGUCACGAUAUCGUACUUUGAAAGUGAGGAGAAUGUUCUGGAAAGUUCAAUAAUAUAAGGUGAUAAUCCUGUAUCCGAAGCUUGAUGAGGCGUAGUGAAUCCCUGAGUAGUGCGGAGCACGAGUAAUUCUGCAUGAAUCUGCCGGGACCAUCCGGUAAGGCUAAAUACUCCCGUGAGACCGAUAGUGAAUUAGU